rnacentral:rRNA from 1 species
GACAGAGGGGGCAAGCGUUGCUCGGAAUUACUGGGCGUAAAGGGCGCGUAGGCGGGAUGGCAGGUCGGUCGUGAAAUCCCUCGGCUCAACUGAGGUACGUCGAUCGAUACUGCCGUUCUUGAGGGUUGCAGAGGAGACUGGAAUUCCCGGUGUAGCGGUGAAAUGUGUAGAGAUCGGGAGGAACACCGGUGGCGAAGGCGGGUCUCUGGGCAACUCCUGACGCUGAGGCGCGAAAGCGUGGGGAGCAAACGGG